rnacentral:SRP_RNA from 1 species
GCUGGGCAUGGUGGCUCAUGCCUGUAAUCCCAGCACUUUGGGAGGCCGAGGUGGGUGGAUCACUUGAGGUCAGGAGUUUGAGACCAGCCUGGCCAACAUGGUGAAACCCCAUCUCUA